AUUGGUUGAAAAUCACCCCUGGCUUUGGCUGUAGCCGGGAGUGAGAUGCGGCAUCCAGAGCCAGCUGGGGCCUUAGCUCACGUCCCACUGCCUCGCGUGCGUGGGGAGAGCCAGGCCCAGACAGGU